rnacentral:rRNA from 1 species
AUACGUAGGUCCCGAGCGUUGUCCGGAUUUAUUGGGCGUAAAGCGAGCGUAGGUUGACAUAUAAGUCAGCUGUGAAAGUUUACGGCUCAACCGUGAAAUUGCAGUUGAUACUGUAUGUCUUGAGUGUACAAGAGGUGGGCGGAAUUCGUGGCGUAGCGGUGAAAUGCUUAGAUAUCACGAAGAACUCCAAUUGCGAAGGCAGCUCACUGGGGUACAACUGACACUGAGGCUCGAAAGUGUGGGUAUCAAACAGGAUUAGAUACCCUGGUAGUCCACACAGUAAACGAUGAAUACUCGCUGUUUGCGAUAUACAGUAAGCGGCCAAGCGAAAGCAUUAAGUAUUCCACCUGGGGAGUACGCCGGCAACGGUGAA